ensembl:lncRNA GRASLND glycosaminoglycan regulatory associated long non-coding RNA
GGUUUCACCGUGGUCUCGAUCUCCUGACCUCGUGAUCCGCCCGCCUCAGCCUCCCAAAGUGCUGGGAUUACAGGCGUGAGCCACCGCGCCCGGCCAGUUCAAUGGAUUUUAAAAAUUAUUAUUCUCUAGAAAAAAGACCACGAACUUUGGAGUGGACAUCCUGAGACCUGCCUACGAAGACCAUUAGGUGGCCUCCAGAAGACACUCCCCUGAUUCCUACACCGAGGGAACACACAGCAGCAAGCUAGGAAAGAAGGGGUGACCCAGCCCAACGCUGUAAACCAGGGCGCGAACCGGCGUUGAGCUGUGCAGCUGCGCCCUGGGCUCCAGUCCUGCUCUGCCGCAGACCCCACCGGAGCCAGCACCUGCCUCCCCGACCCUCGCUGGGGCGGCUGUGAGAUGAGCCCAGAGCCUUCCUGAGCCAACCCUCGCAAGGAAAGUCUGUCUGUUCACCCCACUAUCCUUGUCUUGAAGGAUGAAGAAAAGAGGGCCCCCCGGGAGGUCCCAAAAGGUGGAAUGGACAUCUGGGAUCCAAGCACAGCAAUUUCUUUAUUUUUCUUAAGCCUCUCACUAGAGGAUGAAAAUCGUUCUGCAUAAAGGCCUGGGCUUUAUGAAAAAUAUAUUCACACCUCCCGUGUCCGAGCUGGGAUACCAAAGAAGUUCCUGGUUGAGUACUACUUAUGAAUGAAGGAUUCAGGGGAUGCACAGGUGGGUGACUGCAAAUGCACAGACGUUGUGCUGUGUUCCCCACAAUAAAGGGGUCUGUAUUAAGAUGCAGGCAUUCUCAUGGAACACAGACGUAUAACACUCAAGCUGGGGGACUGCAAAGGAGCAUCUGGGGCUGCAGGAAGAGAGUUAAGGUGCAAAAAUGCCCUGACCCAACUGAGACUUGUAAUUGCUCAUGUGGUAAUACAUGUGACUUCAUUCCCCUGCUCUGUCUUUGUGAAUGCAACCAUUGUUGGGGAGAUAGUGAGAGGGGACACUGGCAUUGAAAGUUUUGUUUGCAGCAGGCCUCAAAAGGCACUCAGAUGCAGAUUUCCCUGCAAAGACUUCCCGGCCUAUCAUGGAGUUCCCCAUCCCUAGAUCUCUGAUCUCUGAGCUGGUGUA